AGAUACCCGGGUAGUCCACGCCGUAAACGAUGUCUACUUGGAGGUUGUGGCCUUGAGCCGUGGCUUUCGGAGCUAACGCGUUAAGUAGACCGCCUGGGGAGUACGGUCGCAAGAUUAAAACUCAAAUGAAUUGACGGGGGCCCGCACAAGCGGUGGAGCAUGUGGUUUAAUUCGAUGCAACGCGAAGAACCUUACCUACUCUUGACAUCCAGAGAAGCCAGCGGAGACGCAGGUGUGCCUUCGGGAGCUCUGGGACAGGUGCUGCAUGGCCGCCGUCAG
rnacentral:rRNA from 1 species